UGAAUCUGAUUGCGUUCCCCUGCCUCGGGCCAGUUGGCCUUACAGGUGCUGGACCAGAUGGUGAAGCUACAGGGAUGGAAAAACUUGCCCUUGCCUCAAGUGGCUAAGCUUGGAGAAUGGAACUGCCUAAAGCAGGGAGAGCCUGACAGCUAAUGAAGACAGCACAAAGGGAAGCAAGGCUAAGAAUGGAAAGAGACAGAUUCCUGACACAGUUUGAGCACCUGGAUCCAGCCAAGCCUGAAGCCAAUGUGUGACAAUCUCCCUUAAGAACCAAGGAAGGGAUUUGCACUGUUGCAGGCCCCUCAAAACCAUACUCUGAAAAAAUUUUAACCUAAACAUGCCAAUAAAGUCACAUUUUAUAAGUGAAGUUUUAUGCUGGAAAAAUAAACCCCAG